rnacentral:rRNA from 1 species
UUCUUCGGGACAGAGAGAGCGGCGUACGGGUGCGGAACACGUGUGCAACCUGCCUUUAUCAGGGGGAUAGCCUUUCGAAAGGAAGAUUAAUACCCCAUAAUAUAUUGAAUGGCAUCAUUUGAUAUUGAAAACUCCGGUGGAUAGAGAUGGGCACGCGCAAGAUUAGAUAGUUGGUGAGGUAACGGCUCACCAAGUCAGUGAUCUUUAGGGGGCCUGAGAGGGUGAUCCCCCACACUGGUACUGAGACACGGACCAGACUCCUACGGGAGGCAGCAGUGAGGAAUAUUGGACAAUGGGUGAGAGCCUGAUCCAGCCAUCCCGCGUGAAGGACGACGGUUCUAUGGAUUGUAAACUUCUUUUAUACUGGGAUAAACCUACCCUCGUGAGGGUAGCUGAAGGUACAGUAUGAAUAAGCACCGGCUAACUCCGUGCCAGCAGCCGCGGUAAUACGGAGGGUGCAAGCGUUAUCCGGAUUUAUUGGGUUUAAAGGGUCCGUAGGCGGAUCUGUAAGUCAGUGGUGAAAUCUCAUAGCUUAACUAUGAAACUGCCAUUGAUACUGCAGGUCUUGAGUAAAGUAGAAGUGGCUGGAAUAAGUAGUGUAGCGGUGAAAUGCAUAGAUAUUACUUAGAACACCAAUUGCGAAGGCAGGUCACUAUGUUUUAACUGACGCUGAUGGACGAAAGCGUGGGGAGCGAACAGGAUUAGAUACCCUGGUAGUCCACGCCGUAAACGAUGCUAACUCGUUUUUGGGUUUUCGGAUUCAGAGACUAAGCGAAAGUGAUAAGUUAGCCACCUGGGGAGUACGUUCGCAAGAAUGAAACUCAAAGGAAUUGACGGGGGCCCGCACAAGCGGUGGAUUAUGUGGUUUAAUUCGAUGAUACGCGAGGAACCUUACCAAGGCUUAAAUGGGAAUUGACAGGUUUAGAAAUAGACUUUUCUUCGGACAAUUUUCAAGGUGCUGCAUGGUUGUCGUCAGCUCGUGCCGUGAGGUGUUAGGUUAAGUCCUGCAACGAGCGCAACCCCUGUCACUAGUUGCCAUCAUUCAGUUGGGGACUCUAGUGAGACCGCCUACGCAAGUAGAGAGGAAGGUGGGGAUGACGUCAAAUCAUCACGGCCCUUACGCCUUGGGCCACACACGUAAUACAAUGGCCAGUACAGAGGGCAGCUACCAGGCGACUGGAUGCG